GCGGAGGACGGCGCUCGCUAGUCUCCCAGGUCGCGGUACACGGCGAGAACGGGCGGGGCGGUCUCGGCUGCGUCCGGGCGAUCCAGUGCUUAGUUCCGUCAUAUCCCUCUCCACGACCUCGGUCGAGCAUGUUCACCAGGGCCCAGAUUCAACCUCAUCUUCCCUAAUUCAAUGACACUCACCUGCCCACACGAGGACGCACCAGGCCAUGGGACUUGAUGAAGACACAGUCG
rnacentral:lncRNA from 1 species